rnacentral:rRNA from 1 species
AGUGAACGCUGGCGGUAGGCCUAACACAUGCAAGUCGAACGGCAGCACAGUAAGAGCUUGCUCUUACGGGUGGCGAGUGGCGGACGGGUGAGGAAUACAUCGGCAUCUACUUUUUCGUGGGGGAUAACGUAGGGAAACUUACGCUAAUACCGCAUACGACCUACGGGUGAAAGCAGGGGAUCUUCGGACCUUGCGCGAUUCAAUGAGCCGAUGUCGGAUUAGCUAGUUGGCGGGGUAAAGGCCCACCAAGGCGACGAUCCGUAGCUGGUCUGAGAGGAUGAUCAGCCACACUGGAACUGAGACACGGUCCAGACUCCUACGGGAGGCAGCAGUGGGGAAUAUUGGACAAUGGGCGCAAGCCUGAUCCAGCCAUACCGCGUGCGUGAAGAAGGCCUUCGGGUUGUAAAGCCCUUUUGUUGGGAAAGAAAAGCAGCAGGUUAAUACCCCGCUGUUCUGACGGUACCCAAAGAAUAAGCACCGGCUAACUUCGUG